UGUUCAUUUCCCCAACACAGCUCCUUGUCUGUCCAGGCAUAGAUUGCAGAAUCAUUCAAGAGUGUUCAGUGUAAAUGACUGUGGGUACAAGGAGUGCUGGAGCUGCAGGCUGGGAGCGUUGCAGUGAAGUGCACAAGGCACCAGCUCAGGGAUGCUCCCCUAGAAGCAAUGGGAAGGGUGAAAAUAUUCUCCCUCCUGAACAUCCCUCCGUAUCCACCAUCCCCCUGUAUCCGUCCCCUGCGUGAUGGAGCCCAUUGCCACAGAGCUGCAGGAUCUGAUGAGACCACAAAGAAGAGAAGCCUGGUUGGUUGGCCUGCACCAAGCCCCAGUCAGACAAUCCCCUACCAGGUUCAGGCAACCAGACAGAGAAAUA